CAGAUGUGACAUCCAGAUGACCCAGUCUCCAUCCUCCCUGUCUGCAUCUGUAGGAGGCAGAGUCACCAUCACUUGCCGGGUGAGUCAGGGCAUUAGCAAUAAUUUAAAUUGGUAUCAGCAGAAACCAAGGAAAACUCCUAAGCUCCUGAUCUAUGCUGCAUCCAGUCUGCAAAGUGGGAUUCCCUCUCGGUUCAGUGACAGUGGAUCUGGGACAGAUUACACUCUCACCAUCAGCAGCCUGCAGCCUGAAGAUUUUGCAACCUAUUACUGUCAACAG
rnacentral:lncRNA from 1 species